rnacentral:lncRNA from 1 species
GAUAGUGGUAGUUUUGAUUGUUUUUAAGAGAGGUUUAUAACCUCUUCUGAUAAUUCGUUUCUUCUCAUUAAAAAUUUUACGUUUUUUUCAUUUCCUAAUUUAAAUUAUCUAAUUCCUUUUUACAAUCUAAAAUUUCGUUGCCAGAAUUCCAAAACCAUCUCCCUCUAAAAAUCUCCAAUUAUCAAAUUUUGUUCCCCCCAAUUCCAAAACCCCAUCAAACUAAACUCUCUCUCCCUCUAAAAAAUCCCUUGAACCCUAAAAUCAGUUUAUUCCUUUCUUCAUUUUCAUUCCACCACAAAAUUCAUCUCCCUUUCUUCUUUGCACGUUCGUUUGGUUCUGAUUUGUCUCUUCCUUUCUUCCUUCUUAUAUUUUCUCUUUUCAUUGAUUUCUCCUUUCGAUUGGUCGUGGUUCAUUUUUCUUUCGGAACUGUAGUUGUAGAACCAUGAGCAGACAGAGCAACAGCGGUGGUUGCGUGGACCGGCCGACGGCUAAGCUUUCACUCGUGCAGCGGUGCUUUCUCUUCUCAUUCAUUCUUUCAUUCCCCUUUCUAUUGUUCAUCUUCUUUUUCAGAUUCGGUCGUAGAACCAUGGGCAAACAAAACUGCAGCGACGAUUGUGUGACCAACAGAUGGCGGAGCUCCCACUCACAGGCAAAGAGGAAUCAUUCAUGUUUGUUGUGACACCCGGGCACUGGCGAGGGCGGGGAGUGACUGCCGAUGCGAGAGGCACGGAGUGCGGCUCCUGGCAGGCUUCGAAGUGGAAGGGACACAUGGAUGAAUCGAACAUACACCGGAAUGAGAGGGAUCCAGAGACUGUAUAGGUAUGGGACUAUACAGUUGAAGGAUAGCUUAAAGGAAUUGAUUUGGCAACUCAUNNNN